rnacentral:rRNA from 1 species
CCCUUAGAUGUUCUGGGCCGCACGCGCGCUACACUGACGGAGCCAACGAGUCUUUUCCUUGUCCGGAAGGACUGGGUAAUCUUGUGAAACUUCGUCGUGCUGGGGAUAGAGCAUUGCAAUUAUUGCUCUUCAACGAGGAAUUCCUAGUAAGCGUGAGUCAUCAGCUCGCGUUGAUUACGUCCCUGCCCUUUGUACACACCGCCCGUCGCUACUACUGAUUGGAUGUUUAAGCGAGGUUCUCGAACUGCUAGUGACUGAUCUUCGGUGAGGUCGCAGUGUGGGAAGUGAACCUAGCUUUGGUGUCUAGAGGAAGUAAAAGUCGUAACA